GCGCGAGUGGCGGAAUUUGGCAGACGCGAUGGAUUUAGGUUCCAUUGUCUUCGGACGUGGGGGUUCAAGUCCCCCCUCGCGCACCU
rnacentral:tRNA from 2 species